UAGCCUAACGGCUGAACCAGCAACUUGGAGGAAUUAUUAGCAUGGCUAUGAUGUAAUAAUUGUUACAUAAAUCGAUUUACUCGAAUAAAAUUCAAGGUAGAUAAUGAUGAUGACAUUUUCUAUUUAAAGUCUUGACCAAUAUACGUGCCAGCAGUCGCGGUAACACGUAAGAGGCUAGCGUUAUUCAUCUUUAAUAGGUUUAAAGCGUUCCUAGACGGUUAAUUAAGGGUUUUAUACUAUUAUGUAAUUAGUCUACUGAUUAAACUAGAGUUACAUGUAAGGGUGCUAUAAAGUACUAAUGAGUGUAGAGAUGAAAUUCUGUGAUACGAAAUAUGUAAGUAAGGCACAGGUAACGGCGAAGGCAUCACCUUAUGUAAUAACUGACGUUAAAGGACGAAGGCUCUUAAUAACAAAAAGGAUUAGGUACCCAAGUAGUUGGAGCAGAAAAUGAUGAAUGUCAUAGAUUAGAGUUAAAUUUAGUUUAUAAAUGAAAGUGUAAGCAUUCCACCUCAAGAGUAAAAUGGCAACGUUGGAACUGAAAUCAUUAGUCCGUUUCUGAUACAAGUAGUGAAGUAUGUUGUUUAAUUUGAUAAUCCGCAAAAAAUCUUACCACAAUUUGAAUAGUAUAAAUUACAUUAUAAUUACAAGCGUUGCACGGCUGUUUUAAGUUAAUAUCGUGAGAUUUUGGUAAAUCCAAUAAUUAACGUAAACCCUUACUUUAUUUUUAUAUAUGGUAGCAACACUCGAUUAACAGAGGUAAUAGGGACUAAGACAAGUCAUCAUGGCCUAAAUAUUGUGGGCUAUAGA
rnacentral:rRNA from 1 species